rnacentral:sRNA from 1 species
GCCAGGUGUGGUGGUGUACACCUGUAAUCCCAACUGCUUGGGAGGCUAAGGCAGGAGGAUUGCAAGUUCAAGGCCAAUCUGGGCAACUUCAGGCACACGGAAUUACCAGAAUGCUUGCCUAGCAUGUGCAAGCCCCUGGGUUUA